rnacentral:rRNA from 1 species
CCUACGGGUGGCUGCAGUGGGGAAUAUUGGACAAUGGGCGAAAGCCUGAUCCAGCCAUGCCGCGUGUGUGAAGAAGGCCUUCGGGUUGUAAAGCACUUUCAGUGGGGAAGAAAGCCUUGGGGCUAAUACCCUCGAGGAAGGACAUCACCCACAGAAGAAGCACCGGCUAACUCCGUGCCAGCAGCCGCGGUAAUACGGAGGGUGCGAGCGUUAAUCGGAAUUACUGGGCGUAAAGCGCGCGUAGGCGGUCUGAUAAGCCGGUUGUGAAAGCCCCGGGCUCAACCUGGGAACGGCAUCCGGAACUGUCAGGCUAGAGUGCAGGAGAGGAAGGUAGAAUUCCCGGUGUAGCGGUGAAAUGCGUAGAGAUCGGGAGGAAUACCAGUGGCGAAGGCGGCCUUCUGGACUGACACUGACGCUGAGGUGCGAAGGCGUGGGUAGCAAACAGGAUUAGAUACCCCGGUAGUC